rnacentral:rRNA from 1 species
AUUGAGCGCUGGCGGCAUGCUUUACACAUGCAAGUCGAACGGCAGCACGGACUUCGGUCUGGUGGCGAGUGGCGAACGGGUGAGUAAUACAUCGGAACGUACCCAGUAAUGGGGGAUAACUAUCCGAAAGGAUAGCUAAUACCGCAUACGCCCUACGGGGGAAAGAGGGGGAUCGCAAGACCUCUUGUUAUUGGAGCGGCCGAUGGCUGAUUAGCUAGUUGGUAGGGUAAAGGCUUACCAAGGCAACGAUCAGUAGCGGGUCUUAGAGGACGAUCCGCCACACUGGAACUGAGACACGGUCCAGACUCCUACGGGAGGCAGCAGUGGGGAAUCUUGGACAAUGGGCGCAAGCCUGAUCCAGCAAUGCCGCGUGCGUGAAGAAGGCCUUCGGGUUGUAAAGCGCUUUUGUCAGGGAGCAAAUCCUUGUGGCUAAUACCCACCGGGGAUGAGAGUACCUGAAGAAUAAGGACCGGCUAACUACGUGCCAGCAGCCGCGGUAA